rnacentral:lncRNA from 1 species
AGGAAAUCAAUUAACCAUAAAAUUAUCCAUAACAUUGAAUAUUCAUGACUAGGGCUUCAUCCUAAGCCCUAACUAAAUGGAUUAGUUAGAUAUAACUAUGAAUACAGAAAAUAAGAAAUACAUAGAUAGGAUAAAGAGAGGAGAAGAACUAGAUGGUGGCAGCAAGGUAGUUCCCAGGACAGCUCCAAGGUCUCCCUUCUUUUCAACUAGCUCCCUUCUCUCUUUAUGGUGAAUCUGAAUGUGUGUAUGAGAGUAAUGGAUGAAAUGAAUGUGUGUGUCUACCCUCCUUUGAAUGAGUGUGCAACUCUCUAUUUAUAGAGUGCAAUUUCGUGCUCCCCUUUGGCUGGUGAAACACACCUCUCUUAGCUGCUCCCAAUUGCCUAAGC